rnacentral:rRNA from 1 species
GACUACAGGGGUAUCUAAUCCUGUUUGCUCCCCACGCUGUCGCGCCUCAGUGUCAGCUAAUGCCCAGCAGGCCGCCUUCGCCACUGGUGUUCUUUCGGAUAUCUACGCAUUCCACCGCUACACCCGAAAUUCCACCUGCCUCUACAUUGCUCGAGCUAGGCAGUUCGCACGGCAGAUCCGGGGUUGAGCCCCGGACUUUCACCACACGCUUACCCAGCCACCUACGCGCCCUUUACGCCCAGUGAUUCCGGACAACGCUCGCACCCUCUGUAUUACCGCGGCUGCUGGCACAGAGUUAGCCGGUGCUUCCUCACCCGGUACCGUCAAUCCUCUCGAAAAAGGAGUUUCGUCCCGGGCAACAGUGGUUUACGCCCCGAAAGGCUUCAUCCCACACGCGGCGUCGCUGCGUCAGACUUUCGUCCAUUGCGCAAUAUUCCCCACUGCAGCCGCCCGUAGG